AGUAAAGUUCGGAAUAUUGGCGCAAUUUAAAUCAGAUAUAAUUAGUUGUAAGCAAAUACGGUGAAAAUAAAUAUUUCGAGUAGUAGUAAGUGAUCGUGUAAUUCUGAAUCAAAGACGAUUUCAAAAGAGUUAAUAUUCAACAAGUGUAAUAUUGGUCUUUAUUAAAUGUAACAAUUCAGAAAGAAUUUUUGAAAGGUUAUAUAACGCAGAACCAACAAAACUGACAAUAGGUCUAAGUUUUUAAUUUGAUUCGGUGUAAGAGAGUGAGAAAUGUCAUUAAUAUGUUUAUUUAGUUUGUUUUGGGUCUUAAUUGUUGGAUCUUUGUUAAAAGUUAUGUACAAAUGUUACCACAAAAAUAAUUGGGUAUUCCACAAUGCAUCUACGCAGUGUGAAGUUUUGUGGUAAAAGGAAAUGCCCUUUGUGCUAGAGGCAAGGUGAGGUUGUCAAAUUUCAUCCCACACUUCUGAGAAAAUAAAACAUGAAUUCCUAUGAAGACAUUUUGGAAUCGUGAACCUUUGAAUUCUACAUUCUAGCUUUUAAAGGAAAGUAAGAAGCUAGACUAUUUCUAUAAUAUAUUUAAAUAAUAAGAUUUUAUCAUUAUAUCAGAUUGUUAUAAAUUUAAAGUUAAAGCUUCUGCUCACUUUUCUUAUCUUAAAUUCAAAGCCUACUUAAAAAAUAUAAAGCUGAACAAAUAAUUCAUUAUGAGGCCAU